rnacentral:tRNA from 1 species
GGAGGGGUCGCAUAGCGGCCUAUUGCGCCGCCCUGCUAAGGCGGUUGGGGUGAAAGCCCCUCGAGAGUUCGAAUCUCUCCCUCUCCG